rnacentral:tRNA from 1 species
AUUACAAUGGCAGAUUAAUGCUUUAAAUUUAGAAUUUAACUAUGGAAUAUAUUCCUUGUAAUA